UCUCUAGUAAUGGUGUUAGGAGGGGAUUAAGUAUAACACUUCUAUAAUUGUGUUUUUAGCCUUCUGCUAAGACGAUAACUUAGUAAAUAAUUUUCUCCCAUCUCAAGGCUGUGCGAUAUCGCGUGCUAAGACUUCGUCGCUUUUCCUUAGUUCUGCAUUAUGAUUUGUUACGAAAGGCCCACUCGGACAACUCUAAUGAAUUUGUAUCACCGGAUAUAUUUACGAUGGCUUGAGACUAACUCCCGAUAUAACGUAGACAGUACUUAGUUUCAGCGUGA